rnacentral:rRNA from 1 species
GAUGAACGCUGGCGGCGUGCCUAACACAUGCAAGUCGAACGAUCAAACGCCUUGCUUGCUGCUCGGAGGUGAUGAGCGGCCGACGGAGGAAUAACACGUUAGCCAACUUAUCACUUCUGCUGAACAACCGCAAGCAAGAGUGGAUAACACGUGAUAUUUUGAAUCUCUUGCUUCAAUAGUGUGAGAAGGUUAUGGUUUCGCUGAUGGAUGGGCCCGCGCCGCAUUAGCUAGUUGGUAGGGUAAUGGCUUACCAAGGCGGCGAUGAGUAGCCGCCCUGAGAGGGUGGUGGGCGACACUGCAACUGAGGAGCGACCGCGACGCCUACGGGGGGCGGCAGUAGGGAGUAAUCCGCAAUGGGCGAAAGCAUGCUGGAGCAACGACGCGUGGGGGAUGAAGGUCUUCUGCUCGUAGUGCUCUGUUAUCGGGGAAGAAGAAAUGUGUACGUGUUUAUGCACGUCUUGACGGUACCUAAACAGAAAGCGACGGCUAACUACGUG